rnacentral:rRNA from 1 species
UACAACAGCCAUAUCACCCUGUAGCCAAAGACCAGUUACUCACUGAAACUAAGCAGGGCUGAGCCUGGUUUGUACCAUGGGAGACCACAUGGGGAAACUAGGUUGCUGUUGGAA